rnacentral:rRNA from 1 species
CAGCCGCCACGGGAAUACAGAGGGUGCGAGCGUUAAUCGGAUUUACUGGGCGUAAAGCGUGCGUAGGCGGCUUCUUAAGUCGGAUGUGAAAUCCCUGAGCUUAGCUUAGGAAUUGCAUUCGAUACUGGGAAGCUAGAGUAUGGGAGAGGAUGGUAGAAUUCCAGGUGUAGCGGUGAAAUGCGUAGAGAUCUGGAGGAAUACCGAUGGCGAAGGCAGCCAUCUGGCCUAAUACUGACGCUGAGGUACGAAAGCAUGGGGAGCAAACAGGAUUAGAUACCCCCGUAGUCCCUGUCUCUUAUAC